GAUGAACGCUGGCGGCGUGCUUAACACAUGCAAGUCGAACGAAGCACUUAAGAUUGAUUCUUCGGAUGACGUCUUUUGUGACUUAGUGGCGGACGGGUGAGUAACGCGUGGGUAACCUGCCUCACACAGGGGGACAACAGCUAGAAAUGACUGCUAAUACCGCAUAACCCGAUAGGAUCGCAUGAUCCAGAUGGAAAAGAUUUAUCGGUGUGAGAUGGACCCGCGUCUGAUUAGCUAGUGGGUGAGGUAACGGCCCACCAAGGCGACGAUCAGUAGCCGGCCUGAGAGGGUGAACGGCCACAUUGAGACUGAGACACGGCCCAAACUCCUACGAGAGGCAGCAGUGAUGGAUAUUGCACAAGGGGGGAAACGCUGAUGCAGCGACGCCGCGUGAGUGAAGAAGUAUUUCGGUAUGUAAAGCUCUAGCAGCAGGGAAGAAAAUGACGGUACCUGACUAAGAAGCCCCGGCUAACUACGUG
rnacentral:rRNA from 1 species